UUAACAGUCCUUGAAAACGUACAGUCUGAAUCGGACCGACCAAAAGGCGACUUUCACCCCGAGCAAUAAUGUCUAUUGAAACAGAGAGAUUGUUGAAACUAAAAGAAGAUAAAGAGGACUUUCACACCAAAGUUAUAGAGAUGUUUUUUCCAGAAGGAUAGGCGAAUGGACUUAACCUAAUUUACAAGUAAAGAUUGAAUCCCCGCCCCGUUGGUCACAUCGCCCGCCAGCCAUUCGUGCUCGACUCAAUCCUCAGCAGCUUUGUGUGAGUCGCGUCCGGGAUGGGGAGCGCCCGCUCGCAGGCAGACAGCCCACUGGGAAGCAGCGUCCACCCAGCUCGGGGCUUUAUUGCCUCCAUCUGUUUCCUGUGAGCCAACUCCAGCUGCGGCCAAAUAACAGCGGUGCAUUUGGGAAAAUUCAGCAGCCCAAUUUAGUAGUCGUAGGCACUCUCCAUUGUACUGAGGCUCCCUUUCGCUGCAUUUCCCGUAUUGGCGGAGUCCUAAAUCUUUGGAUAAAUUGCGCCUCUUCUUUCUUUUAUUUAUUCGUCUGCGUUUGGG
ensembl:lncRNA